rnacentral:tRNA from 1 species
GGGGUUGUGGCUCAGUGGCAGAGUGCUUACCUAGCAUGCGUGAGGCACUGAGUUUGAUCCUCAGCACCACA